rnacentral:lncRNA from 1 species
GAAGAGCCUACCUGAGACUAAUCAAAGACAGUGUUCCAAGAGAUCCUUGAGCAGAAACCUGAGGCAGGAACGUGCAAAACGCACCGCAACUCUGAAAAUGAGAAAUGGAGAAGAUGAAAACCAAAUUUGAAAAAUCAAAUAGGGGAAAACGGAAAUGAAUACCAAAUAUAAAAAAAGCAAAGUGAGAAAUUAACAUUCAAUUCAGAGGGAAGAACGAAGAAGUUGAAGAUGACUUUCUAGGGCAAAAUCACAGUGAGAAAUGAAGCUUCAGAUGGAAGAACAAAGAGGUGGCAGAUGAUUUUUUAGGGCUGAAACGUGAGAGAGUUGAACUGGAAUUUCUAGGACCGAAGGAUCUGUAAAAACGUGAAAGGUGAGAGGGUUGAACGUUCGAAGAUUGAAGAAUGUGUAAAAAUGAGAAGUGUGCCACCAACAAAAUACACAAAAUGAAAAAUAAAGAAAAACAAAACUAUUAUUUUGAUAAAAGUAUAGGAACUUAUUUUGUCUAAUUAUGAGAUGUGCAA